rnacentral:rRNA from 1 species
CCUACGGGGGGCAGCAGUAAGGAAUAUUGGUCAAUGGACGCAAGUCUGAACCUGCCAUGCCGCGUGGAGGAUGAAGGUCCUCUGGAUUGUAAACUUCUUUUAUUUGGGAAGAAACUCCCGAUUUCCAUCGGGAUUGACGGUACCAGAUGAAUAAGCACCGGCUAACUCCGUGCCAGCAGCCGCGGUAAUACGGAGGGUGCAGGCGUUAUCCGGAUUCAGUGGGCGUAAAUGGGGAGUAGGUGCACUGGUAAAAGCUCCGGGCUUAACCCGGAAACUGCCAUUGAUACUAUUUGUCUUGAAUACUCUGGAGGUGAGCGGAAUAUGUCAUGUAGCGGUGAAAUGCUUAGAUAUGACAUAGAACACCCAUUGCGAAGGCAGCUCACUACGGAAAUAUUGACGCUGAGGCACGAAAGCGUGGGGAUCAAACAGGAUUAGAUACCCCGGUAGUC